rnacentral:lncRNA from 1 species
GAACCUCUUGGUGGAGUCCAGUCCCUGGGCGGCUCUCGGUUCUUGAGGGGGAUUAGGCGGCAGUUGAAAGAGCUGCUCGAAAGCUUGACGAACAAGGAAAAAGCCGAUAUAUCUUUAUCUAUUUUAUAUAUCUUUUGAUUUUUCUAUAGUUGAAAAAACCUUCUUUUGAGAGGGAGGACAAGUCUUUCAUUUCCCUUCCCGCCGAGUAAGUAAAUUUGUGCUUCCUUUGUCUCACGCAGGAAAGCAUGAACUCCAGUUAGUCUGAUGCCGAGAGCUCCUUCCUCCUAAUCUUUUAGAUGUUGUUGACAGAGAGGGUUUGAGGUUUCAAUAUCCUACUACGAAUGAAUUGCCUUCUUUGCGAGAGCCUAAAUCCGGAUAUUCCGCAAUUUCCAAUCCCUGCAGUAGGAGGGGAUUCCGCACUUUAAGUUCUGUCUUGGCGCUUUCUUUAUUAGUAAGAUCCGGGGGAUAAGCUAGGAUUCUUGAAUAGUCUCCAUCAGCUCAACCAAGAAAGUGUGUUAUUUUGAGUAGUCAUUUAGGUGGUAAGAGAAGCCAAGUGAGGAGAAUGAGUGAGAAAGGGUCCUAUCAUAUUCAAUUUAUUCCCUAAAUGAGGUCAGGCAGGCACGGCUAAGUCAAAUAAAUCCUAACUGCUAAUGCUAAAGUCGAACUGAUAGUAGUAGCGCAUCAACAAGUGCCUUAGAGUCACAUUGAACCUGAGCAGAAAGCUUGGUUCCAUUGAUUCUUUCAACCUAGAACCUGUAUUAGAUUUAAGCUAUCAGGGCUGUUUGCCAGAGCUAAAAUCGGCUCAGGGGAAAGGGUCGUUGAAUAAGCAAAACAACCAAUUGAUGCCGUUAUAGAAGAAUUUCCACCUAUGGAUGAGAAUUCGGAAUUAGAAAUGGAUAAUGCUGUUUGGACUCCUACCGAAGCUGGGACUCAAGCCCAAGGCAUGGAUCUGGUUCGAGAAAGGGUGGACGAAGACUUGGUUGAGCCUGAACCCGGUCCUUUGAGGGAUCCCUAAAUCCUUAAGUCCCAGGAUACGGACCCCUCUCCCCUUGAGGAUUGGAUUGACUUGGUUAUUGCGGAACCAGCGUUCUCACUUUGCCAACUUUGAAAAGAGAGAUCUACGAUCC